AGUGAACGCUGGCGGUAGGCCUAACACAUGCAAGUCGAACGGCAGCACAGUAAGAGCUUGCUCUUACGGGUGGCGAGUGGCGGACGGGUGAGGAAUACAUCGGAAUCUACUUUUUCGUGGGGGAUAACGUAGGGAAACUUACGCUAAUACCGCAUACGACCUACGGGUGAAAGCAGUGGAUCUUCGGACCUUGCGCGAUUGAAUGAGCCGAUGUCGGAUUAGCUAGUUGGCGGGGUAAAGGCCCACUAAGGCGACGAUCCGUAGCUGGUCUGAGAGGAUGAUCAGCCACACUGGAACUGAGACACGGUCCAGACUCCUACGGGAGGCAGCAGUGGGGAAUAUUGGACAAUGGGCGCAAGCCUGAUCCAGCCAUACCGCGUGGGUGAAGAAGGCCUUCGGGUUGUAAAGCCCUUUUGUUGGGAAAGAAAAGCAGCAGGUUAAUACCCCGCUGUUCUGACGGUACCCAAAGAAUAAGCACCGGCUAACUUCGUG
rnacentral:rRNA from 1 species